UUGACACAGGAAUGUUGAGAUUACAUAUCACAUAUAUCUUUUUACCUUACACUUUUAUAUAAUUCUAAUACAUAGUAGGUCAUGAAAAUAUAUGCCAAAAUCUAUCGGCUGAAUCUCCAAUCCUUUUCAGAAAUUAAACUAAUGUUUCGUCACGCAGCAAACAAACCCAUAACAAACUUGCCUGCAAAAAAAUAAAAUAAAUCAUAACAAACUUGACAAAUUGGAGUGGUAAAUCAAAAUAAAAUUCAUUCGGUAAAUAACCAGAAAAAGAAAUCGUAAAUAUAGCAAUUCAUUUAUGGGUGACAUGCAUACCACAGCAUCGUCCAGCACACGAACAAACCAACUUUUUCAUCGUCAGCAACUACAUGUGGCUGGACGGAUCUUGAUACGCCUACUUGCUGCUACUUGUUGGCAGUCGCCACGCGGACAAGAACUCGCACCAACGCUUGCGUGGAGAAGGAAGAGGAG
rnacentral:lncRNA from 1 species